ACAGGCUGCAAUGGCACCACCUUGUAGCCUGAGGUUGUCAGUUCUCAGAAGCUAAGAAAGGUCGGAUCUGGUUAGCACUGGGGUAGGAGACCUCCAAAGAAAACCAGAUUGCUGCUGGUA
rnacentral:rRNA from 1 species